rnacentral:rRNA from 1 species
GUAGGGCGCAAGCGUUGUCCGGAAUUAUUGGGCGUAAAGAGCUCGUAGGCGGCUUGUCACGUCGGGUGUGAAAGCCCGGGGCUUAACCCCGGGUCUGCAUUCGAUACGGGCUAGCUAGAGUGUGGUAGGGGAGAUCGGAAUUCCUGGUGUAGYGGUGAAAUGCGCAGAUAUCAGGAGGAACACCGGUGGCGAAGGCGGAUCUCUGGGCCAUUACUGACGCUGAGGAGCGAAAGCGUGGGGAGCGAACAGGAUUAGAUACCCUGGUAGUCCACGCCGUAAACGGUGGGAACUAGGUGUUGGCGACAUUCCACGUCGUCGGUGCCGCASUAACGCAUUAAGCGCCCCGCCUGGGGAGUACGGCCGCAAGGCU